rnacentral:rRNA from 1 species
GACGUAGGGCGCGAGCGUUGUCCGGAUUUAUUGGGCGUAAAGAGCUCGUAGGCGGCUUGUCGCGUCGACUGUGAAAUCGUCGGGCUUAACUCCGAAACUGCAUUCGAUACUGCCGUGCUUGAGGACUGGAGAGGAGACUGGAAUUUACGGUGUAGCGGUGAAAUGCGUAGAUAUCGUAAGGAAGACCAGUGGCGAAGGCGGCAUCCUGGACCAACACUGACACUGAAAAGCGAAAGCCAGGGGAGCAAACGGG